GUCCUAGAGGCUGGCCUGUCCUCACCCACUUCUCUCUCCAGCUGUCCCCAGGAGCUCGAUGAUCACAGCAAAGGCUGAGGCCACCGGUCAGGAAUGCACAGCCUCAAGUGGACAACCUCAGGACAAGACGUAGGAGCCACACGGGCUUGCUCAGCAAGGAAUGUCCCAUCCGAAACAGCCAGAUCCUCCAGCAAGCUACGUAGGUUGAGCACCUUCUCAGGAUUGCUCAGGUUUUCAUGCACACCGGAAGAGGGCAUCAGAUUCCAUUCCUGAUGGUUCUGAGUCACCAUGCGGCUGCUGUGAAUUCAACUCAGGAGGAACAGCCAGCACUCUUAACCACAGAGCCAUCUCUCCAGUCCCCUGUGUUUCUUAACCUGAUCAGAAAUAAGCUGCAGGAGAUUUAUGGCUCAGGAGAGUAGACCCUUCCCUUCUGCCGUCACUCACGAUGGACAAUGGCUGCCCAGGAAAUCACCCAACAUUUCAGUAGACAACUAACACUAUUCAGAACAAGUUGUGUCAAUUGUCCAUGAUCCCAUAGCUGAUAGAGAAUGGCAGGACUCCGAAAAUGUUUGCAGUGACAUCAGUUUCUUUGAAACAUCCCAAAGUCCAUGGGAGGGAGCGGUUAGGGAGAAGGUCCAGGAGAGGUCGUUCCUCCAGACACUGUGAGUGGUAUCUGCCAGAGCUGGUCAACUGUGGGGCUGGGAGGAGAUCCCAGAGGACAGAGACUCCAGAGCAGCACCCUGUCACCCUCCGACUCUGCCAUCUGACCCGGGUCCUCUGCCCCUUAGCAGCUAAGCCAGGGGUCCCUCCAUUUCUUCUGUCAUCCGACCCAGGUAAACAGAAGAAAGUGUCAGCUUUGCCAU
rnacentral:lncRNA from 1 species